UGGAGCAUGUGGUUUAAUUCGAAGCAACGCGAGAACCUUACCAGGUCUUGACAUCCCUGACAACCCAAGAGAUUGGGCGUUCCCCUUCGGGGGACAGGGUGACAGGUGGUGCAUGGGUUGUCGUCAGCUCGUGUCGUGAGAUGUUGGGUUAAGUCCCGCAACGAGCGCAACCCUCGCCUCUAGUUGCCAGCAUUCGGUUGGGCACUCUAGAGGGACUGCCGGCGACAAGUCGGAGGAAGUGGGGAUGACGUCAAAUCAUCAUGCCCCUUAUGACCUGGGCUACACACGUGCUACAAUGGGCGGUACAAAGGGCUGCGAACCCGCGAGGGGGAGCGAAUCCCAAAAAGCCGCUCUCAGUUCGGAUUGCAGGCUGCAACUCGCCUGCAUGAAGCCAGAAUCGCUAGUAAUCGCGGAUCAGCAUGCCGCGGUGAAUACGUUCCCGGGCCUU
rnacentral:rRNA from 1 species